AUUGAACGCUGGCGGCAUGCUUUACACAUGCAAGUCGAACGGCAGCGCGGGCUUCGGCCUGGCGGCGAGUGGCGAACGGGUGAGUAAUACAUCGGAACGUGCCCAGUAGUGGGGGAUAGCUCGGCGAAAGCCGGAUUAAUACCGCAUACGACCUGAGGGUGAAAGCGGGGGAUCUUCGGACCUCGCGCUAUUGGAGCGGCCGAUGGCAGAUUAGCUAGUUGGCGGGGUAAAGGCCUACCAAGGCGACGAUCUGUAGCUGGUCUGAGAGGACGACCAGCCACACUGGGACUGAGACACGGCCCAGACUCCUACGGGAGGCAGCAGUGGGGAAUUUUGGACAAUGGGCGAAAGCCUGAUCCAGCAAUGCCGCGUGUGUGAUGAAGGCCUUCGGGUUGUAAAGCACUUUUGGCGGGAACGAAAAGGACUGUGCCAAUACCACGGUUCGAUGACGGUACCCGCAGAAUAAGCACCGGCUAACUACGUG
rnacentral:rRNA from 1 species